CGCCGCGGUAAAACCAGCACCUCAAGUGGUCAGGAUGAUUAUUGGGCCUAAAGCAUCCGUAGCCUGUUCUGUAAGUUUUCGGUUAAAUCCAUAAGCUCAACUUAUGGGCUGCCGAAAAUACUGCAGAACUAGGGAGUGGGAGAGGUAGACGGUACUCGGUAGGAAGGGGUAAAAUCCUUUGAUCUAUUGAUGACCACCUGUGGCGAAGGCGGUCUACCAGAACACGUUCGACGGUGAGGGAUGAAAGCUGGGGGAGCAAACCGGAUUAGAUACCCGGGUAGUCCCAGCUGUAAACGAUGCAAACUCGAUGAUGCGUUGGCUUGUUGCUAGCGCAGUGUCGCAGGGAAGCCGUUAAGUUUGCCGCCUGGGAAGUACGUACGCAAGUAUGAAACUUAAAGGAAUUGGCGGGGGAGCACCACAAGGGGUGAAGCCUGCGGUUCAAUUGGAGUCAACGCCUGAAACCUUACCCGGAGAGACAGCAGAAUGAAGGUCAAGCUGAAGACUUUACCAGACAAGCUGAGAGGUGGUGCAUGGCCGUCGCCAGCUCGUGCCGUGAGAUGUCCUGUUAAGUCAGGUAACGAGCGAGAUCCCUGCCUCUAGUUGCCACUAUUACACCCUGGUGUAGUAGGGCGAAUUAGGGGGACCGCCGCAGUUAAUGCGGAGGAAGGAAGGGGCCACGGCAGGUCAGUAUGCCCCGAAACUCUGGGGCCACACGCGGGCUGCAAUGGUAACGACAAUGAGUUCCAAAAUCGAAAGAUAGAGGUAAUCCCUAAACGUUACCACAGUUGUGAUUGAGGGCUGCAACUCGCCCUCAUGAACAUGGAAUCCCUAGUAACCGCGUGUCAUUAUCGCGCAGUGAAUACGUCCCUGCUCCUUGCACACACCGCCCGUCGUUUCAUUGAAGUUUGCCUUUAGCGAGGUGAUGUCUAAUUGGCAUUAUCGAACUUGGGGUAAGUGACAAGGGAAAAGUCGUAACAAGGUGACCGUAGGGGAACCUGCGGUCG
rnacentral:rRNA from 1 species